rnacentral:rRNA from 1 species
UCUGGUGCCAGCAGCCGCGGUAAUUCCAGCUCCAAUAGCGUAUAUUAAAGUUGUUGCAGUUAAAAAGCUCGUAGUUGAUUUUCUGUUAAUUUUUAUGUAUAAUAUUGCGWUAUUUACAUAAUAUUAACAUAAUUCACAUUACUUUACAGUAUGUGGAAUUUUACUUUGAGAAAAUUAGAGUGCUUAAAGCAGGCUAUUGCCUUGAAUACUCCAGCAUGGAAUAAUAUUAAGGAUUUUUAUUCUUCUUAUUGGUUCUAGAAUAAAAAUAAUGAUUAAUAGGAACAGUUGGGGGCAUUUGUAUUUAACAGUUAGAGGUGAAAUUCUUAGAUUUGUUAAAGACAAACUACUGCGAAAGCAUUUGCCAAGGAUGUUUUCAUUAAUCAAGAACGAAAGUUAGGGGAUCGAAGACGAUCAGAUACCGUCGUAGUCUUAACCAUAAACUAUGCCAACUAGAGAUUGGAGGUUGUUCCUUACUCCUUC